rnacentral:rRNA from 1 species
GAUGAACGCUGGCGGCGUGCCUAAUACAUGCAAGUCGAGCGAACAGACGAGGAGCUUGCUCCUUUGACGUUAGCGGCGGACGGGUGAGUAACACGUAGGUAACCUACCUAUAAGACUGGGAUAACUUCGGGAAACCGGAGCUAAUACCGGAUAAUAUUUCGAACCGCAUGGUUCGAUAGUGAAAGAUGGCUUUGCUAUCACUUAUAGAUGGACCUGCGCCGUAUUAGCUAGUUGGUAAGGUAACGGCUUACCAAGGCAACGAUACGUAGCCGACCUGAGAGGGUGAUCGGCCACACUGGAACUGAGACACGGUCCAGACUCCUACGGGAGGCAGCAGUAGGGAAUCUUCCGCAAUGGGCGAAAGCCUGACGGAGCAAAGCCGCGUGAGUGAUGAAGGUCUUCGGAUCGUAAAACUCUGUUAUUAGGGAAGAACAAACGUGUAAGGAACUGUGCACGUCUUGACGGUACCUAAUCAGAAAGCCACGGCUAACUACGUG